rnacentral:lncRNA from 1 species
CAAUCGUAUAAUGCAUAUCAGUCACGUUUAUUAUACGUCUCUGUGUGUGUAUGGCCGAUAGAUUGUAUAAUAUUUACAAUACUGUUUUGACGAAAAGUUACUUAAUCCGGAAAACGCUAAUUUUCCAGUUAUGUGGAUCGUAAAUGGUAUCGCACGGGAUGAUGGAGCGCAGUCCUUUUAUUUGGCUCAUAAAUAGAUCGGCGCUAUUAUAUUGAACGCGUCGCUUUCUUGGAUCGUCGGCCAGGAUUUGAACAAUCCCAUAGUUUAUAUAACAAUUUUUCGUUAAUGCAAUAAGGGUUUAAAAAUUGUCUUGUUUUUUACUGAAUGUACGAUUUAUCGGAGUCACUAUUACAGGUGUGCAAAAUUCAGGCAGGCGAAAGUCCGAGAGUCGUUUCUUAUGUUUGAAAAAGUAAUUUGUAGCUUUCAGUUUGCAAACAUCGACUCGCAACAUACCUAUAUAAACCUCAUAAAACGCUCGACUCUUCUCCGUAGUAAAAUGAAACUCAGAAGUAGCUUUAACGUGUUGUUGCUAUCAACUGCGAUACUAUUCAUCUUAAUUGUUCUGUCGCGCAAUAAUGUAUAUGCAAGACGACUUCAUUCUAAGAAUGGUUUUAGACUGAAUAACGUAACUAAUAGCAGAAAACCUGGUUAUUUUUCUGGCAAACGUAUUUUUUUCAAUCAGUAAAGGUUGAAUGAAAGAUAUUUAAGUGGGAAGCAGAAAAGGCAUUCUGAUGACGUCAAACGAUUAUACUUAUUGUCUAUCACUCUACACUAAUAGCAGUUGUUAAAUAUACACCUGUUACUUUAAUCUGUGACGAUCUUAUUGGUUGGAACGGAGUAUUUGUAAAAUCUCGCCACUUCUGCAAACUGAAGAUAAGUCAUGUACAAAUAAGUUAUUUCAGAUAUUUUUUAUAUUUUCAAGUUUGAAUUUCAUAUUGAACAUGUCGAAUAGAUCAUCUUACAUGAACACUCUUUAUCGUCAAUGAUAAAUAACAACGAUAAUAAUUUACUUCGGUUGUAUUUUAGAGUAAACAAAAGUUCAUCCUAGCUUGUUAAAAGAAACAAACUAUCAUACAAGUAGAGCGGGUAUAAGAGAAAAUUGUAAAGAUUCAAAUAAACAUAUUGAUAAUAUUAAAAUUUAUUAAUCAAUAAAAAUGCAGUGCACACGCAAUAGUCUUUAAAAACAAAACACAAGACUAAAUCUAAUUUUAAAAACAUUGCAUUUGAUUCGAAUUUAGCUGUCGAUGGUCUUGCAGCAUCAAUCGACGAGAUAUCGGUUUCACUUCUCUCCGAAUCUGAUGUCAAUCAGGCCGUCACCGUUGGUGUUGGGAGCUGAAAUAAUAAAACAAACAACGUCAUUAACUAAAUGCCAGGAUGACAAAGAAAAAUCGUGCAAAAGAAGCAUAUUUUAAAAAAUAACAUAUAUUAUUUUAUGGAUUUAUAUAUUUCAGCUUACUGGUCGUCGGGUAGUUUGGCUGGCUCGGCUGCGUCGGGUUGACUUCAGAAUAAGUUGGCUGAUUCGGGCCCACUUGUGGAUAGGUCGGCUGACUCGGAUUCACC